rnacentral:rRNA from 1 species
AUACGGAGGGUGCAAGCGUUAAUCGGAAUUACUGGGCGUAAAGAGUACGUAGGUGGUUUAUUAAGUCAGAUGUGAAGGCCCCGGGCUCAACCUGGGAACUGCAUUUGAAACUAGUAGACUAGAGUAUGGUAGAGGGGGGUAGAAUUUCUAGUGUAGCGGUGAAAUGCGUAGAUAUUAGAAGGAAUACCAGUGGCGAAGGCGGCCCCCUGGACCAAUACUGACACUGAGGUACGAAAGCGUGGGUAGCGAACAGGAUUAGAUACCCUAGUAGUCC